GAUGAACGCUGGCGGCGUGCCUAAUACAUGCAAGUCGAGCGAACAGAUGAGGAGCUUGCUCCUCUGACGUUAGCGGCGGACGGGUGAGUAACACGUGGAUAACCUACCUAUAAGACUGGGAUAACUUCGGGAAACCGGAGCUAAUACCGGAUAAUAUAUUUAACCGCAUGGUUCAAUAUUGAAAGACGGUUUUGCUGUCACUUAUAGAUGUAUCCGCGCCGCAUUAGCUAGUUGGUAAGGUAACGGCUUACCAAGGCGACGAUGCGUAGCCGACCUGAGAGGGUGAUCGGCCAAACGGGAACUGAGAAACGGUCCAGACUCCUACGGGAGGCAGAAGUAGGGAAUCUUCCGCAAUGGGCGAAAGCCUGACGGAGAAACGCCGCGUGAGUGAUGAAGGUCUUCGGAUCGUAAAACUCUGUUAUUAGGGAAGAACAAAUGUGUAAGUAACUAUGCACGUCUUGACGGUACCUAAUCAGAAAGCCACGGCUAACUACGUG
rnacentral:rRNA from 1 species